rnacentral:rRNA from 1 species
AUUGAACGCUGGCGGCAUGCCUUACACAUGCAAGUCGAACGGCAGCACGGGAGCGAUCCUGGUGGCGAGUGGCGAACGGGUGAGUAAUGUAUCGGAACGUACCUUUCAGUGGGGGAUAACGUAGCGAAAGUUACGCUAAUACCGCAUAUUCUGUGAGCAGGAAAGCAGGGGAUCGCAAGACCUUGCGCUGAUUGAGCGGCCGAUACCAGAUUAGCUAGUUGGUGAGGUAAAGGCUCACCAAGGCGACGAUCUGUAGCGGGUCUGAGAGGAUGAUCCGCCACACUGGAACUGAGACACGGUCCAGACUCCUACGGGAGGCAGCAGUGGGGAAUUUUGGACAAUGGGCGCAAGCCUGAUCCAGCCAUGCCGCGUGAGUG